GGCGCGCUGGUUGAGGGGGGGCUGAGGCUGGGCCGCUGUGGUGGGCGCCGGGCGGAGCUGGGGCGGCAGCAGCGAGAGGUGGAGGUGCCUCCGUUGGCUCUGGAGGUGGAUGAUGAAGGCACCUGAAGAAAGCUCUGGCUGCUGCUAAGACUGUCCUGGUUGAUCAAGGGGCCUGUGGUGGUUCCUGGAGCUUGGGGAGGUCACUGAUACAAGCUUAUUCAGCACUACAGACAACCCAGUUUUGCUUUUGCAGAUGGAAAUAAAGAGAUACUGUUUAU
rnacentral:lncRNA from 14 species